rnacentral:rRNA from 1 species
CUUAAGCCAUGCGAGUCGAGAGGGGUAAGCCCUCGGCGCACUGCUCAGUAACACGCGGACAAUCUGCCCUCGAGACGGGGAUAACCCCGGGAAACUGGGAAUAAUACCCGAUAGAUCUGAGAUGAUGGAAGGCUCCCAGGUCCAAAUCCUGCGGGGCUCGAGGAUGGGUCUGCGGCCUAUCAGGUAGUAGGGGGUUUCACGGACCCCCUAGCCGAAGACGGGUACGGGCUUUGGGAGAAGUCGCCCGGAGAUGGAUUCUGAGACACGAAUCCAGGUCCUACGGGACGCAGCAGGCGCGAAACCUCCACAAUGUGGGCAACCACGAUGGGGGAACUCCAAGUGCCUACACUAUGUGUAGGCUGUUCUCGAGCCUAAAAAGCUCGAGAAGUAAGGGCCGGGUAAGACGGGUGCCAGCCGCCGCGGUAA